GGCCUUCUAGUAUAAUAGUAGCACUUCUAGUUCUAGACUAGGAGGUUGUAGGUUCAACUCCUACUUAGGCCU
rfam:Pseudogymnoascus pannorum VKM F-4246 contig_1050, whole genome shotgun sequence.